AUGAUGGACCGCGAGAUCGUCGGCCGGCACGCGCGCGGCAUGCUGCUCGCGGGCUACGCCUACGGCCUCCACGACCCCGUCUGCAACAUCCUCGCCAACUGUCUCUGGCACGAUGCGGUGUUCCCCGCUUCCUCGAGCCAGGAGGUUCGUCAGCCCAUGAUGCUGAGCUGCAAGGCCAUAUUCCGCCUGGCUCGCCGCUCCCUCGAUGCCCUCGUCGCCUUCAUGAGGGCGUACGCGCCCACCCUGUCUGCUGAAGAGGCCAUGUCCUACCUGAGCAGAAGCCAUGGCAACCUUCACCAUGCCGCCGUGCUUGUUGACAGAGAAGGUGUUUUCCACACAAACCGCAUGGACGACGCCUUCAGGGCUGCCAUUCUGGCAGCGCAUCUCCCUAGUGACGCAGCUCGCGAGGCUCAAUUCUUUUUCAUUGUCAACUGUGCUCCUACAGAUGCUUUUCUUGCAAAGCAUGGAAUUCAUGGUCACCCAUUAGCUUUUGGAUUAUCUGACCUCAGGCCGCAAAGCAAUUCAUCGCUUAUAGUGCUUGAAUUUGUCAAGUUGGUUGUUUCCAGUUUAGCUCUCACACAGCCGCCACCAAGCUCGCCGAGCCUAAGCCAAGGAGCAUAUAGAGCGUUAAGGAUCAAGAUGCAUGCCUUCAAGGGGGAUCAGGAGUUUUGCCUUGGUAUAGUAAACAUCGCACUCAAGAAACUUGCGUUCCAGUUUGGGGAACUUUAUCAGAUUCAUCUACUAUGCGGCAAAAGUUUGGUUACUUUGGUUCCUGACAGCUAUUAUCAUGUCAACUUCUUGGCAUCUCUUGAGAGCGAGCCUAAUCAGCCUAAGCUGUUUUUUGCUGAGAUUCGUGCUUCACUUCAAGAUGUGGAUGAUGUGACCUUGUGCUGUCCCGUGACAUUAUCAGGAAGAACUGGUGGAUGCUCUGCUUGUGAGUAUCUGGGAAUGAAACUCAUCCAUCCUGUAGAUGAGAAGUUCAAUGGACAAUGUGACUUCACUAAGGGUAGAGACCCACACAUUGCUGAACUUUUCAGGAAAGACCCUACCUCAGAGUUUGAUGUUCCACUGAUUGAUGAUUACAUUUUCGUUGAGCUUGAUCAACACCCUGAGGUUACAACCUUCCUGGAGACCACUUACUCCUAUAUGAGUGAUGAUCAAGUGGACCUGAGUCUUUUGUGGUUUGAAAAUUAUCUGCCUUAA
rnacentral:rRNA from 1 species